rnacentral:rRNA from 1 species
GAUGAACGCUGGCGGCGUGCCUAAUACAUGCAAGUCGAGCGAACAGACGAGGAGCUUGCUCCUCUGACGUUAGCGGCGGACGGGUGAGUAACACGUGGAUAACCUACCUAUAAGACUGGGAUAACUUCGGGAAACCGGAGCUAAUACCGGAUAAUAUAUUGAACCGCAUGGUUCAAUAGUGAAAGACGGUUUUGCUGUCACUUAUAGAUGGAUCCGCGCCGCAUUAGCUAGUUGGUAAGGUAACGGCUUACCAAGGCGACGAUGCGUAGCCGACCUGAGAGGGUGAUCGUCCAAACUGGAACUGAGACACGGUCCAGACUCCUACGGGAGGCAGCAGUAGGGAAUCUUCCGCAAUGGGCGAAAGCCUGACGGAGCAACGCCGCGUGAGUGAUGAAGGUCUUCGGAUCGUAAAACUCUGUUAUUAGGGAAGAACAAAUGUGUAAGUAACUAUGCACGUCUUGACGGUACCUAAUCAGAAAGCCACGGCUAACUACGUG